UACGAAGGGGGCUAGCGUUGUUCGGAAUUACUGGGCGUAAAGCGCACGUAGGCGGAUUGUUAAGUGAGGGGUGAAAUCCCAGGGCUCAACCCUGGAACUGCCUUUCAUACUGGCAAUCUCGAGUCCGAGAGAGGUGAGUGGAAUUCCGAGUGUAGAGGUGAAAUUCGUAGAUAUUCGGAGGAACACCAGUGGCGAAGGCGGCUCACUGGCUCGGUACUGACGCUGAGGUGCGAAAGCGUGGGGAGCAAAC
rnacentral:rRNA from 1 species